AGCUUGCUCUGGCUGGAUUAGCGGCGAACGGGUGAGUAACACCGUGAGCGAAUCUGCCCCUGACUCUGGGAUAACUUCGAGAAAUCGAUGCUAAUACCGGAUACGACCCUUUCCAGGCAAUCUGGUGAGGGUGGAAAGAACUUUUGGUCAGGGGAUGAGCUCGCGGCCCUAUCCAGCUAGUUGGUGAGGGUAAUGGCUUACCAAGGCGACGACGGGUAGCCGGCCCUGAGAGGGUGACCGGCCACACUGGGACUGAGACACGGCCCAGACUCC
rnacentral:rRNA from 1 species